UGAUCCUGGCUCAGGACGAACGCUGGCGGCGUGCCUAAUACAUGCAAGUCGAACGCUUCUUUUCUACCGAGUGCUUGCACUCACUUGAAAAGAGGAGUGGCGGACGGGUGAGUAACACGUGGGUAACCUGCCCAUCAGAGGGGGAUAACACUUGGAAACAGGUGCUAAUACCGCAUAACAGUCGACACCGCAUGGUGUUGAUUUGAAAGACGCUUUCGGGUGUCACUGAUGGAUGGACCCGCGGUGCAUUAGCUAGUUGGUGAGGUAACGGCUCACCAAGGCCAUGAUGCAUAGCCGACCUGAGAGGGUGAUCGGCCACACUGGGACUGAGACACGGCCCAGACUCCUACGGGAGGCAGCAGUAGGGAAUCUUCGGCAAUGGACGAAAGUCUGACCGAGCAACGCCGCGUGAGUGAAGAAGGUUUUCGGAUCGUAAAACUCUGUUGUUAGAGAAGAACAAGUAGGAGAGUAACUGCUCCUACCUUGACGGUAUCUAACCAGAAAGCCACGGCUAACUACGUGCCAGCAGCCGCGGUAAUACGUAGGUGGCAAGCGUUGUCCGGAUUUAUUGGGCGUAAAGCGAGCGCAGGCGGUUUCUUAAGUCUGAUGUGAAAGCCCCCGGCUUACCGGGAGGUCAUGGAAACUGGGAGACUUGAGUGCAAAAGAAAUGGAAUCCCCUGUAGCGUGAAUGCGUAAUUAUGGAGACCCAUGGCGAAG
rnacentral:rRNA from 1 species